rnacentral:lncRNA from 1 species
UUCAUACUACUGUUGUUGUGCUAAAAACAAGGCUAGCUCUAAUUGAUUACAUCAAACGUGUAGGGCUACAGGGGCCCGGUGCCCACAUGAGCCAUGACGGGUAGUCAGCACCUAAUAAAAAAAGAAUUAUUCUAUGAGUACAUAAUAUUGUACAUAAGGGUGUCCAUUUUGAACACCCACCUAUUGUAGGGGGGCUUGUGAAUAGGGGGCCGCUGGGUGUCCAUUUUGGAUACCCUUAUGUGCCCCCUAAUGUACCCAUAGAAUAACCUAUAAAAAAACUGAAAAAAGGCAUGCCUCAAAUAAGUUUAGGUGUUGCCAUAAGACGGAGCUCUACCGAGCCUAGGUCAGGCCACCGCACAGGCCCCCCUCCAAUAGAGGGUCAUCGGGUGUCCAUUUUGGACAUCCUUAUGUGCCCCCUAAUGUACCCAUAGAAUAACCAUAAAAAAAACUGAAAAAAGGCAUGCCUCAAAUAAAUUUAGGUGUUGCCAUAAGACAGAGCUCUACCGAGCCUAGGUCAGGCCAUCUCAAUUCCGAGCUGUGCACACCUCUAUUCAUAACUUAUCUUCUCUAAUCUUUUCUUAUGCUCCCAAUAGAUCAAACCACAGGCUUAUCAACCUUCUUAUCCUUCACCUCCAAAAUUUAUCACGGGGCGAAUAAGAAAAGAAAAAGGAAGGAGCUAAAAGAAACCAUCAUAUCAAAGGUAGAAAAUCCUUCAAUAAGAAGUUAUGCUAAGAGGACACCCAUCUAAGCAAGGAAAUACAGGAAAAUUUUCCUUUUUUUUUUCUUUUUUUUUUUUUUUUUUUUUU